CUUGAGGGAGCCGAGCCACAGCGGACGAUCCUCGGGCCGGUCCUGGCCGUACGUGGCGAUCAGCGCCUGGGCCUC
rnacentral:antisense_RNA from 1 species